rnacentral:misc_RNA from 1 species
GAUGAAGAACGUAGCGAAAUGCGAUAAGUAAUGUGAAUUCAGAAUUCAGUGAAUCAUCGAAUCUUUGAACGCACCUUGCACCCUUUGGCAUUCUGAAGGGUAUGCUCGUUUGAGUGUCAUUGUACUCUCACACUCCCGAUCUUUGCAUUGGGAGCAGUGGACUUGGGUUUGCUGCUUCACCGUCGCUUACCUCAAAUAGGUUAGUGCAACUCUUGGUUGGACAUAGUACGGCGUGAUAAGUGUUCUUCGCCGGUGCCUCGCAAAGAGGGUGGCCGAUCGGGAUGUUGUGCUCCAAACCGUCUUCGGACAAUCUCUGACGACUUGACCUCAAAUCGAGUAAGACUACCCGCUGAACUUAAGCAUAUCAAUAAGCGGAGGA